rnacentral:rRNA from 1 species
UACGUAGGGUGCAAGCGUUGUCCGGAAUUAUUGGGCGUAAAGAGCUCGUAGGCGGUCUGUCGCGUCGGCUGUGAAAACCUGGGGCUCAACCCCGGGCCUGCAGCCGAUACGGGCAGACUAGAAUUCGGCAGGGGAGACUGGAAUUCCUGGUGAGCGGUGAAAUGCGCAGAUAUCAGGAGGAACAUCGGUGGCGAAAGGCGGGUCUCUGGGCCGAUAUUGACGCUGAGGCACGAAAGCGUGGGGAGCAAACAGG